GCCUCUAUAGCUCAGUGGUACGAGCGCUUCACUUGUAAUGAAGAGGUCCGUGGUUCAAUCCCGCGUGGAGGCU
rnacentral:tRNA from 2 species